CCCUGGUGGCUCAGAGAGUAAAGAAUCUGCCUGCAAUGCAGGAGACCCAGGUUCAAUCCCUGGGUCAGGAA
rnacentral:tRNA from 1 species